AAUUCACCUCCUGACAUCAUGUACCUGGCCCCGAUCUUUGUGAUGUUGAUGUUGUGGAUUCCAUAAUAUGCAUAAUAUGGAUUCUGAUUCAUACUGAUCCAAAAAUUCGAUUACAAUUUCAUUGCUCCACUCCAUUGUUAUAAACCGCUAGAAAAACGAUGGACACAACUGCUUCGGAUGGCUGCUCAAAACAAAUUGACCCUCAGUUUCUUUGACCCCCACCCCCCGUAGCCCAAAUGUUGAAAGGCUAGUGUGAUGUCAUCAAAAUAUAGCCGAGUGACUACACCAAAUUUGUCUUUUUCUCUUUUUUUUUUAUUUACAACCAUCAGAGUCUGACAAAACACACUACAUAAAAACAUUCACAAACAUGUAAACAAUUGGAAAAUUUAUACAUUACAACAUUUGUAAUCCAACUCCCAUGGCCAUCAUCCCAAUUCACUAGAUAUAAUAUUAUCACCAUGCACAAAUGCCUUUCAUUUUUAACACAAAAAAACACAACAUAACAUCACGUCAACUCAUGCCAAAGAGCGACUCUGUCUGCAAACGUACUACCGGAAUGUCAGACAUAUUUUUAAUCUAAAUCUAUACUAUGCUGACAUCUAUCAACCAUUCUCGCAAUUACCAGUUUUUAACCAUUCACUUUUAAAAUGUUGAUAGGUUGUUCGCCCCUUGAUGGAAUUAUUCCAUUUCCUCCUGCCAAUCUUUAAUUAUUAGUUUUAUUUCUGAGUUGGAUUUUGGACUCAUGGAAAGAUAUUUCUUGGGUUUCUAAGUUUAAAGCCUCCUUGGCUAGUGUAUGUGCUUUUUCAUUUCCAAUAUACCCCUGAUGAGCUCUGAUCCGGAUCAUUUCAACACCAAGUUCAGCAGUUUUUUCUUUUAUAUCCAGUAUUAUUAUUUUGUUUCACCUAUGAAAUCUAAUGCCAUUAAAGCCGAUCAUGAAUUAGAAAUCUUUGCCCCUUUUAUAUUUCGUUGAGCGACAAACUAAGGCUCUUCAUGCAUCUAAUUCAAACAAAUCUCCACUAGGCCCAGACUUCAUCCACUCCAGCGAAUUUAAACAACCCACAACUUAACAUUACUUAUCGUGGGUAACAGCGCUUCUCGCUCGAUACCACAGCAUCUUUCGUCUACAUCGUAUUACUGGUACUACUGAUCAGAUAAACUGCAACAAGGAAGAAGAGUUCAUGCCAGCCACUAAAAGCAAUGGGCUAGCAUCUGCAAACUCGCAGCCACUACAGGAGGUACCUUCCAAGUGGAAGCGGGAGCUCCUUCAACAGCAAAAGAAUGGUUUUACUGGUACUGUAUAAUUGUUUACUGCUAACUUGCUCUAUUUUUGUGUUACUCGCCAAUUCUCUAUAAUGCUGAUUUCUGGUAAUUUGUAGCUGGUUUAGAUCCAAACCAUUAUUACAUCUUAUAGCGAUAAGAAGAACCGAGCAAGGAUCCCCAACAAAAUUGCCCUUUUGUUCUGUAGACAGUAAAUAAUCUGGACCUCUGAUACACCUUGUUCAUUUUCGUGAAUCGUGCAAAGGUUAUCUGCCUUCUCCUUUAACAAAACAGACAAAAUCGUUUUCUGCUAGAGGUCAUGCAAAUGGAGACAUUUUUGAAAAUAACAAAAAAGUGUGUGCAAUACAUGUAAUAAGUCAUACUCCUCUACUGGAUGUUAUUUUUAAAAAAAUAUGUUAUCGAAAGAUAAAACAAUAUAUCCAAGACAAUGCGAAAAAUGUGCCAAAGCAAAUCCUCUUUUUGUCACCAUAAAGUGAAAAGCAGCUUAAAAUUCUUAAAUGAUUUCAAUGUAAUCCAAAUUCGAAAAGAUUGGCCUCAUAAAUGUAAUAAAUCUGGUCAUUUUUUCAGUAAACAAAUAAAAUUUUAACACAUGUGAAAAAAGUACAGUUAAAGAUAAAAUUGAAGUGUAUU